rnacentral:rRNA from 1 species
UACGUAGGGAGCAAGCGUUGUUCGGAUUUACUGGGCGUAAAGGGCGCGUAGGCGGCAAAUUAAGUCAGCUGUGAAAUCUCCGAGCUUAACUCGGAACGGUCAGCUGAUACUGAUCUGCUAGAGUGCGGAAGGGGCAAUCGGAAUUCUUGGUGUAGCGGUGAACUGCGUAGAUAUCAAGAGGAACACCUGAGGUGAAGACGGGUUGCUGGGCCGACACUGACGCUGAGUGCGCGAAAGCCAGGGGAGCAAACGGG